rnacentral:rRNA from 1 species
CCUACGGGAGGCAGCAGUGGGGAAUAUUGCACAAUGGGGGAAACCCUGAUGCAGCGACGCCGCGUGAGUGAAGAAGUAAUUCGGUAUGUAAAGCUCUAUCAGCAGGGAAGAAAAUGACGGUACCUGAGUAAGAAGCCCCGGCUAACUACGUGCCAGCAGCCGCGGUAAUACGUAGGGGGCAAGCGUUAUCCGGAUUUACUGGGUGUAAAGGGGGCGUAGACGGCAGUGCAAGUCUGGAGUGAAAGGCUGGGGCUCAACCCCCGGAAUGCUCUGGAAACUGUACGGCUGGAGUGCAGGAGAGGUAAGUGGAAUUCCUAGUGUAGCGGUGAAAUGCGUAGAUAUUAGGAGGAACACCAGUGGCGAAGGCGGCUUACUGGACUGUAACUGACGUUGAGGCUCGAAAGCGUGGGGAGCAAACAGGAUUAGAUACCCCUGUAGUC